GGGAAAUCAUGGUGUGAAGAUACCCAGCGGCACCACUAUUGAAAUUAAGACUGUUGUCAAACUUGGUUUGAGGGACAAUAUUCAAGCAUUGUUUGAGCCAAAUAUUUCGCAGGAAAUACUGGAAGGUGUGUGUAUUGAAGGAAGUGUUGUUAAUCUCAAGAAAGGGCCAACAACAAAGGUUGCUGUUUAUGCCACAAAUGCUACGUCCAGGAGUAUAUCACUGAAGAACAAACUUCUUCUUGGAAGUCUUCAUUCAAUUGAUGAAUUGAUACCAGUAUUAGAAAAUACCGAGACCAGUAGGUUGGUACAUUCUUGUUCGGUUCAACAAUCAAAAGAACCCAACCCCCCACACCGAGAAGAUUUAUGGCACCCACCUGUUGAAAUUCAAAACAAUUUAACACCAGGACAACAGGAACAGCUUCGUAACCUUCUGCACGAGGAGUCGUCUGCAUUUGCAAGACAACAUGAAUUUGGUAAUGCUAAAGAUUUACAGUUAGAAAUUCGUCUCACGGAUGCAGAGCCUGUCCAGCAGAAUUACAUUUCUAUCCCGAAACCAAUGUAUGAAGAAGUGAAACAAUACCUUAAUGACCUUCUUCGACGUAAUUUCAUCAGAAAGAGCCAUUCUCCAUACCCUAGUGCAAUGGUGAUUGUCAGAAAAAAAGAUAAAACCCUUAGACUAUGCAUUGAUUAUCGCCGCAUCAACCAGAAAACAAUACCUGACCGUCAACCUAUCCCCAGAAUACAAGAUGCUCUGAACAACUUGAAGGAAAAGUCAACGUGACUAGAUUGAAGAAAAAACAUAUCUGAGUGAAUCGACAGAGGUUUGAUUGCCUGACAUUACGAAUUGUUGAAAAAAACGAGCCGAAGCGAGAGCAGGCCCACUAGACAAGAUCAAUGCCGUUAAGACUCGGGAACCUAGAGUUGUGAGAAACUAUAGAAGGGAAAUUAGGCAUCCAGUUGGGGAUCAACGUGUACCUAAUGGAGAAUCUGAAAAUGAAGGAUUAGCGAAGCUACGACGAGAAAAUAAAGAAUUAAAAGAACGGCAAUUGUGUAAAAUCUGUUUAGAUGCUGAUAAUAAUAUGGUACUCCUUCCAUGUAGCCAUACUGUUGCAUGUGAAUCAUGUUCUUCCGUUUUAUUCAAAUGUCCGCUAUGUCGUGAAGCUGUUCAUGGAAAGUUAAAAAUCAACAGAUAAACUUAUUUUGUUAGGUUUAAGAAAUACAUAACUUUAUAGUUA